GGUGGAUCAUGUACGAAUAAAACACAUCUCCCUUUUAACUUGAAUGACCACCAACUUCAUACCAACAAUGAAUGGCUUCACUGACGGCGGCUGGAGGGAGUAUCUGUUUGAAUAGUGUACUCCGGGGGUAACGUGUGUCCUUACAUACUGUACAGACAUACAGAGGGACCCUGUCCUACUCGUGAUGGAGGUUACAGUGACAUACAUGAUCAAAAUGACAGUGUAGUCUAACAUUUUCCUUGAUACCCCAUGCCAACAGUUCACAGGAAUAUAUAAGAUCUGUCUUUACAAUUUCAUUGCUAGCAAUAGUAGCAUUUAGCAUGAGGUAUUGAAAUAGAUUUACAAAGCUCCUAAAGACCGUGAGUUGAAUGCAUAUAGUGAUAACUGUUGUUACAUGAUCACUCGUGGUCGCCAUGAAUCUGUAUGAGGAGGCCACAAGAGUAUCGUUUAGGUGCAGCGUACAUUAUGCAUUAUAUAGAAAUAACGGGGAACUUGUGUUCCAGUGACACGCCGCCUCGUAAUGCCAGUGUUGUCUGACAUCUUGUUUAAUUAUCCAUGGUGAUAUACAAUUCGUUUCAUACCGAUUUAUUGUAAGCAAUAGUCACUACACCUGCUUUUGGAAUAACGUCAACAAAUAAACAUCAUAAAGGCAAUAGUGAAAACAUGCUUCAGUACACCUCUGGAUACUUCCAUGCUCCACAAUCUGUCGCCGUUCUACAUAACACAAAGAGUACUGUGAACAUGUGACUUUGGACUGAACAAAAGUCUUGCUAUCAGCAUGCACGUCCAUCUGUAAAUCCUCAUUAAACCAGCACUGGAAA